rnacentral:sRNA from 1 species
CACGAUGCCCCAGGCCGCCUCCCCACCUCUGUGGCCCCUGAGCCUGCACGGAGGAAAGGGUAUCCUCUGGGCAAGGCACAGCCACCCGCCAGGUCCUCCCUCUCACCACAUCCAGGACAGUGGACGCUGCUCCCUGCCUCUUCCUCACAGUCCUGGGGUCACCCCUCUCAGCCCCAUCCAGCUCCUGAGCAGCUUUGUCCCCAGAGGGCCCCGGGUCAUUCCUCUGACCAACCAGGCACGGCGCACCCUGCAUGCAAGCCUGGGCGGGUGCUGGGGAUGGACGAGUGACGCAGCAGACACUGCCUCCCUGAAGGCAUGGCAAGGUGGGACGCUUGGCCUCCACCUGCAGGGGCCUUACCUGACCAGUCCCCAGCUUCAGGAGGGGGACCCCAGCAGCUGGAGCCCCAGCAGAGUUGGGGGGAUGGUGGCAUCUGUGUCCUGGGCUCCGGGGCCACGCUGAUCUGGGCUCUGAGAGCCAGUGUCCGCUGCUCCUCCCCUCCCAUUUCUCAACAGGAGGCCCCGAGUUCCUGAAGACGCCCCUGGGGGGCAGCUUCCUGGUGUACGAGUCCUUCCUCUACCGGCGGGAGAAGGCGGCCGGGGAGAAGGUGUAUUGGACCUGCCGGGACCAGGCCCGCAUGGGCUGCCGCAGCCGCGCCAUCACCCAGGGCCGGCGGGUCAUGGUCAUGCGCAGGCACUGCCACCCACCGGACCUGGGCGGCCUGGAGGCCCUGCGGCAGCGGGAGCACUUCCCCAACCUGGCGCAGUGGGACAGCCCAGAUCCUCUCCGGCCCCUGGAGUUCCUGAGGACUUCCCUGGGGGGCAGGUUCCUGGUGCACGAGUCCUUCCUGUACAGGAAGGAGAAGGCGGCUGGGGAGAAGGUGUACUGGAUGUGCCGGGACCAGGCUCGGCUGGGCUGCCGCAGCCGCGCCAUAACCGAGGGCCACCGCAUCAUGGUCAUGCGCAGCCACUGCCACCAGCCUGACCUGGCAGGCCUGGAGGCCUUGAGGCAACGGGAGCGGCUCCCUACCACGGCCCAGCAGGAGGACCCAGAAAAGAUUCAAGUUCAGCUGUGCUUCAAGACAUGUUCUCCUGAAAGCCAGCAGAUUUAUGGGGACAUCAAAGACGUCAGACUGGAUGGCGAGUCCCAGUGAGGCGAUGUGGGCAGAGGAGCUCUGAGCCGCCCACCCAAGGUGGCUUCACAUCCACACAGGCACUUCCCAUCCACUUAGGUUUGGCUUAGCAGAAACUUCUUUUCAUUCUUCCAAAGCAUCGAUGGUCUUCGCGUCUCCUCAGGAGGUCUCCCAGGAGGAAUUCUUGGAUGGUGUCCUCGUGUCGGCGGAGAACAGUGCUCAGAGCUGGCGCUUGCAGACGCAGCUGUCAUGGGGCAGGGCGGUGGCGCCUUCCUGACCUUUGGAAGACAUGACAAAGCUGCCUGGACACGGACGCCCCUGCUGUACGGCCACAGCACCCCUGGGUUUGCAGAGCACGCAGCCUUCCUAGGGCUUUCCACCUGGCGAGGCCCCGCUCUGCUCAGCACGGUGCAAAGUGAAUGCCGCUGUCUUGGAGCCUGGGCACGUUUGGGGAAGUUCCUGCUUCAAACUGAGCUGCCCCGCAUAGGCCAGGUCAACCCACACCAAUCUUUUCUGGACAGCUGCUGGGUAGGCCUUCCUGGUCUCUGGCCGCCUGCUGCCAGGGUGUGGCCAUCCCCAGCAACCGGAGCCGGCCAAACCAGAGGCCUCGCUCUGCGCUCCACACUUUGCUUUCUGUGCUCCUUCCAAGUUAAAUUAAAUCCCCUCUCCACGAUUCCCACGGCAGGCGUCAUUCCCCGAGACGGGAGCCAGUCCAGGGGUCAGCAGGAGCCAGCGCUGGGCACACGUGCCCUGGCUGAGGCCAGCGGCAUCCUGGGUGGCCCAGGUCCAUCCUGGGCAGCAAAGGCGUGUCCCCUUCUGUCAGACAGCUUCACAGAGUGUGGCUUCACCAGUCAGAGGGAGCAGUCCGGAGAGGCAAGAUGACCCCACCGGGACUGCAGAGCCUCCUGCUUACUAAUAAGGACCUGUCCGCAGCCGCGAGGUCCUUCACUCCCACCCUGUAAUUGUGGGGAGAGUGCCAGCAACAGGCCUGUCCCCUGGCAAGUUGGCCACGGAACCCACCAUGCACUGCAAGGCUGUGACAGCCUGGGCACCCCUGCUUCUCCUCUGCUUGUAUGGUUCCCCCAAUAAAUCCUAUUUUCCAUCUC